UCCCAAAAACACAAAGUUUUGGUCCUAAACUUGCCGUUGUUUUUUACCAAAAUUAUACAUGCAAGCCUCCACAUACCAGUGAGAAUGCCCACACACCCCAAACAGCACACUGGAGCAGGCAUCAGGAUACAACACCACUUAGCCCAUUACGCCUUGCAUAUGCCACACCCACACGGGCUUACAGCAGUAAUUAACAUUAAACAUGAGCGAAAGCUCGACUUAGUUAUGGUUGAUAUGGUCGGUAAAUUUCGUGCCAGCCACCGCGGUUAUACGAAAGACCAAAAACAACGACUCACGGCGUAAAGCGUGACUAUGAAGAAAUUUUAACCAUUAAAGAAAAACAACUGCCAAGUCGUAAAACACUAUUGCACAUAGAACCACAACACUAAAAUAUCUUUAAAAUUACCCUACCUCACGAAAGCUAAGAAACAAACUGGGAUUAGAUACCCCACUAUGCUCAGCCCUAAACACAGAUAGUAUAAACACAAUACUAUCCGCCAGAGAACUACAAGCGAAAAGCUCGAAACUCCAAGGACUUGGCGGUGCUUCAAAUCAAUCUAGAGGAGCCUGUCCUAUAAUCGAUACCCCACGUUUCACCUUACCCCUUCUAGCCAACCAGCCUAUAUACCGCCGUCGUCAGCCUACCUUAUGAAAGAAAUAAAGUGAGCAAAAAAGUUAACAACUAACACGUCAGGUCAAGGUGUAGCACACGAAGCGGCAGAGAUGGGCUACAUUUCUCCAGAGAAGAAACCACGAACAGUAAACUGAAACACACACUCAAAGGCGGAUUUAGUAGUAAAAUAAACAAGACUAACCAUUUUAAACCUGCUCUGAAGCGCGCACACACCGCCCGUCACCCUCAUCG
rnacentral:rRNA from 1 species